rnacentral:rRNA from 1 species
UGUGCCAGCCGCCGCGGUAAUACGUAGGUGGCAAGCGUUGUCCGGAUUUACUGGGCGUAAAGGAUGCGUAGGCGGAUGCUUAAGUCAGAUGUGAAAAUCCCGAGCUUAACUUGGGAACUGCAUUUGAAACUGGGUAUCUAGAGUGCGGGAGAGGAAAGUGGAAUUCCUAGUGUAGCGGUGAAAUGCGUAGAGAUUAGGAAGAACACCAGUGGCGAAGGCGACUUUCUGGACCGUAACUGACGCUGAGGCAUGAAAGCGUGGGGAGCAAACAGGAUUAGAUACCCGUGUAGUCC